GAUGAAGAACGUAGCGAAAUGCGAUAAGUAAUGUGAAUUGCAGAAUUCAGUGAAUCAUCGAAUCUUUGAACGCACCUUGCGCCUUUUGGCUAUUCUGAAGGGCAUGCCUGUUUGAGUAUCAUGAACACCUCAACUCUCAUGGUUCGCCAUGAUGAGCUUGGACUUUGGGGGUCUUGCUGGCCUACGGUCGGCUCCUCUCAAAUGAAUCAGCUUGCCAGUGUUUGGUAGAGUCGCAGGUGUGAUAACUAUCUACGCUUGUGGUUUUCUGCCAGAUAACCUUCAGUGAUGGAGGUUCGCUGGAGCUUAUAAAUGUCUCUCCCCAGUGAGGACAGCUUUUUGAACGUUUGAUCUCAAAUCAGGUAGGACUACCCGCUGAACUUAAGCAUAUCAAUAAGCGGAGGA
rnacentral:misc_RNA from 1 species